rnacentral:rRNA from 1 species
GAGACCGGCGCACGGGUGCGUAACGCGUAUGCAAUCUACCUUUCACAGAGGGAUAGCCCAGAGAAAUUUGGAUUAAUACCUCAUAGUAUUAUAGAGUGGCAUCACUUUAUAAUUAAAGUCACAACGGUGAAAGAUGAGCAUGCGUCCCAUUAGCUAGUUGGUAAGGUAACGGCUUACCAAGGCAACGAUGGGUAGGGGUCCUGAGAGGGAGAUCCCCCACACUGGUACUGAGACACGGACCAGACUCCUACGGGAGGCAGCAGUGAGGAAUAUUGGACAAUGGGCGCAAGCCUGAUCCAGCCAUGCCGCGUGCAGGAUGACGGUCCUAUGGAUUGUAAACUGCUUUUGCACAGGAAGAAACAACGCUACGUGUAGCGUCUUGACGGUACUGUGAGAAUAAGGAUCGGCUAACUCCGUGCCAGCAGCCGCGGUAAUACGGAGGAUCCAAGCGUUAUCCGGAAUCAUUGGGUUUAAAGGGUCCGUAGGCGGUUUAGUAAGUCAGUGGUGAAAGCCCAUCGCUCAACGGUGGAACGGCCAUUGAUACUGCUAAACUUGAAUUAUUAGGAAGUAACUAGAAUAUGUAGUGUAGCGGUGAAAUGCUUAGAGAUUACAUGGAAUACCAAUUGCGAAGGCAGGUUACUACUAAUGGAUUGACGCUGAUGGACGAAAGCGUGGGUAGCGAACAGGAUUAGAUACCCUGGUAGUCCACGCCGUAAACGAUGGAUACUAGCUGUUGGGAGCAAUCUCAGUGGCUAAGCGAAAGUGAUAAGUAUCCCACCUGGGGAGUACGUUCGCAAGAAUGAAACUCAAAGGAAUUGACGGGGGCCCGCACAAGCGGUGGAGCAUGUGGUUUAAUUCGAUGAUACGCGAGGAACCUUACCAAGGCUUAAAUGUAGAUUGACCGGUUUGGAAACAGACUUUUCGCAAGACAAUUUACAAGGUGCUGCAUGGUUGUCGUCAGCUCGUGCCGUGAGGUGUCAGGUUAAGUCCUAUAACGAGCGCAACCCCUGUUGUUAGUUGCCAGCGAGUCAUGUCGGGAACUCUAACGAGACUGCCAGUGCAAACUGAGAGGAAGGUGGGGAUGACGUCAAAUCAUCACGGCCCUUACGCCUUGGGCUACACACGUGCUACAAUGGCCGGUACAGAGAGCAGCCACUGGGUGACCAGGAGCGAAUCUACAAAACCGGUCACAGUUCGGAUCGGAGUCUGCAACUCGACUCCGUGAAGCUGGAAUCGCU